UACAGAGGUCCCAAGCGUUGUUCGGAUUCACUGGGCGUAAAGGGUGCGUAGGCGGUCGGGUAAGUCUGAUGUGAAAUCUCACAGCUUAACUGUGAAACUGCAUUGGAUACUAUCCGGCUCGAGGGAAUGGAGGGGAGACUGGAAUACUUGGUGUAGCAGUGAAAUGCGUAGAUAUCAAGUGGAACACCAGUGGCGAAGGCGAGUCUCUGGACAUUUCCUGACGCUGAGGCACGAAAGCCAGGGGAGCAAACGGG
rnacentral:rRNA from 1 species